rnacentral:lncRNA from 1 species
AAACUUACCAAUUGGGGCUGCAGGGGCUGCCCUUCUCUUGGCCGACAGCUGUUGCGGCUUAUUUUGCAAAGGUGUGAUAUCUCUCUCUGCAAAGGUGGAUGCUUGAUGAUUCUUGAGGUUUUAGUGUGAGAGAGAAAGGUAUGGGUGUACGAUUUAAAUGGAAGUUGUGACAAUACUGGAAGGAAAUUAACUAUAGCUGCAUUUCAACAGAAAAAUCAACAACGUCGGAGGGUUGUUGCUGCAUCCAUUCCCUUCCCCUCCCCACUCACUGACACCGUCAAAAGUAGCGUCACAGUCGCGAUCGCCUAAGCCACCAGAAUCCUAGCCG